rnacentral:rRNA from 1 species
UUGAACGCUGGCGGCAGGCCUAACACAUGCAAGUCGAACGGUAACAGGAAGAAGCUUGCUUCUUUGCUGACGAGUGGCGGACGGGUGCGUAAUGUCUGGGAAACUGCCUGAUGGAGGGGGAUAACUACUGGAAACGGUAGCUAAUACCGCAUAACGUCGCAAGACCAAAGAGGGGGACCUUCGGGCCUCUUGCCAUCGGAUGUGCCCAGAUGGGAUUAGCUAGUAGGUGGGGUAACGGCUCACCUAGGCGACGAUCCCUAGCUGGUCUGAGAGGAUGACCAGCCACACUGGAACUGAGACACGGUCCAGACUCCUACGGGAGGCAGCAGUGGGGAAUAUUGCACAAUGGGCGCAAGCCUGAUGCAGCCAUGCCGCGUGUAUGAAGAAGGCCUUCGGGUUGUAAAGUACUUUCAGCGGGGAGGAAGGGAGUAAAGUUAAUACCUUUGCUCAUUGACGUUACCCGCAGAAGAAGCACCGGCUAACUCCGUG